rnacentral:rRNA from 1 species
UACGAAGGGGGCUAGCGUUGUUCGGAAUUACUGGGCGUAAAGCGCGCGCAGGCGGCUAUCCAAGUCAGUGGUGAAAGCCCGGAGCUUAACUCCGGAACUGCCAUUGAAACUGUUUAGCUUGAGUAUGAGAGAGGUGAGUGGAAUUCCCAGUGUAGAGGUGAAAUUCGUAGAUAUUGGGAAGAACACCGGUGGCGAAGGCGGUUCUCUGGGCCUGUUCUGACGCUGAGGAGCGAAAGCGUGGGGAGCGAACAGG